GUUAAGUUGGUUCUCGUGCUUAUUCUAUUUUGUAUCUGGAUUUACUUAAUUAAAAGACUUUUCUGUCAUCACCCUUGGUAUCGCUCCAUCUGCCUCAUCAACCUGUGACAGAAGAACGGACCUGAAGAAGAUGAACUGGGCUGAGGAUUUUCUCCUGGAAUUCCAGCAGGAGAGAAUGCCUUUGGAGCAGUAUGUGGAGGAGUUUCUGAGCCUGAUACAUCUGCAAAAAAGCAGUUACAACCCAAACCACCAGACCAACACCAGCACCACAUAUCCCUGAUGCAGCACCUGAAGAGAGAUGGGAAUCCAUAAUGAUAAAGAGAGACAGUCAUUAGUGUGAAUGUGUGUCUGAACAAACACUAUAAACAUCAGCACUACAUUACCUGAGUGAAGAUCUGUACCUGUAAUGAUAAAAAGAGACAGUCAUUAGUGUGACUGUUUGUCUGAUCUAACACUAGAAACAUCAGGAUCAUAUAACCUGAGUGAAGAUCUGCAUACUUCUUUGAGAAUGUCUAAUGUGCUGACAUCAAUUAGAUGCAUAGUGUUUAUUUCCUAUCUUCAUUGUUGACUGACCAUAGAUCUAAA